rnacentral:rRNA from 1 species
ACAACUUUCAACAAUGGAUCUCUUGGUUCUGGCAUCGAUGAAGAACGCAGCGAAAUGCGAUAAGUAGUGUGAAUUGCAGAAUUCAGUGAAUCAUCGAAUCUUUGAACGCACAUUGCGCCCUUUGGUAUUCCACUGGGCAUGCCUGUUCGAGCGUCAUUA